UACGUAGGGUGCAAGCGUUAUCCGGAUUCACUGGGUUUAAAGGGUGCGUAGGCGGGUCUGUAAGUCAGUGGUGAAAUCUCCAAGCUUAACUUGGAAACUGCCGUUGAUACUAUAGACCUUGAAUGCUGUGGAGGUGAGCGGAAUAUGUCAUGUAGCGGUGAAAUGCUUAGAUAUGACAUAGAACACCAAUUGCGAAGGCAGCUCACUACCCAGAUAUUGACACUGAGGCACGAAAGCGUGGGGAUCAAACAGG
rnacentral:rRNA from 1 species